rnacentral:rRNA from 1 species
GAGUUUGAUCGUGGCUCAGAACGAACGCUGGCGGCAUGCCUAACACAUGCAAGUCGAACGCCCCGCAAGGGGAGUGGCGAACGGGUGAGUAACGCGUGGGAACCUACCCAGCAGUUGGGGAUAACCGCGGGAAACUGCGGCUAAUACCGAAUACGUCCUACGGGAGAAAGAUUUAUCGCUGUUGGAGGGGCCCGCGUCGGAUUAGCUAGUUGGUGAGGUAACGGCUCACCAAGGCUGCGAUCCGUAGCUGGUCUGAGAGGAUGAUCAGCCACACUGGGACUUAGACACGGCCCAGACUCCUACGGGAGGCAGCAGUGGGGAAUAUUGGACAAUGGGGGCAACCCUGAUCCAGCAAUGCCGCGUGAGUGAUGAAGGCCUUAGGGUUGUAAAGCUCUUUUGCCGGGGACGAUGAUGACGGUACCCGGAGAAUAAGCCCCCGGCUAACUUCGUG